GUCUAAGAUGGACACAGUCUUCGGACUCCUUUUCAGGAAGAGUUUAAAACAUCUCGCUCUUGUUCCAAAGGAGUUUGCGAUAUUCUUCCGCCACCUCUGACUUUUAUGGGCACCAUUGCAGUCCCAUCAUCUUUGUCCCUCUGGAUGAUCUGUGUCGCUUUCAUCACUGGCAAACCAUCCACCAUUUGGCCACCUAAGAGUUGGCCAAAAGUGCAGCAAGGUGAAUAAAUAAAAUCAAGAAAGAAAGAAAG